CUGCCAGAGUACUACGAGCACCAGCUUAAAACUCAAAGGACUUGACGGUGCCCCAAACCCACCCAGAGGAGCCUGUUCUAUAAUCGAUAACCCACGUUUUACCUCACCAUCUUUCGCAAUCAGCCUAUAUACCACCGUCGCCAGCCAACCUCUUGAGAGAUUUGCAAUUAGCAAAACUGUAGCCCACAAGCACGUCAGGUCAAUGUGUAGCACAUAAGAUGGAAAGAAAUGGGCUACAUUUUCUUCCACAAGAAAUUACGAAUAACGCAAUGAAAAAUAAUUUGAAGGCGGAUUUGGCAGUAAGAAGAAACCAUUAUAUUCUUCUUAAUUUGGCUCUGAGGCGCGC
rnacentral:rRNA from 1 species